AAUUAUUGGGCGUAAAGAGCUCGUAGGCGGUUUGCCGCGUCUGCUGUGAAAGCCCGGGGCUUAACUCCGGGUGUGCAGUGGGUACGGGCAGACUAGAGUGCAGUAGGGGAGACUGGAAUUCCUGGUGUAGCGGUGAAAUGCGCAGAUAUCAGGAGGAACACCGAUGGCGAAGGCAGGUCUCUGGGCUGUUACUGACGCUGAGGAGCGAAAGCAUGGGGAGCGAACAGGAUUAGAUACCCUGGUAGUCCAUGCCGUAAACGUUGGGCACUAGGUGUGGGGGACAUUCCACGUUUUCCGCGCCGUAGCUAACGCAUUAAGUGCCCCGCCUGGGGAGUACGGCCGCAAGGCUAAAACUCAAAGGAAUUGACGGGGGCCCGCACAAGCGGCGGAGCAUGCGGAUUAAUUCGAUGCAACGCGAAGAACCUUACCAAGGCUUGACAUCAACCGGAUCGGGCCAGAGAUGGUCUUUCCCUUCGGGGCUGGUUGACAGGUGGUGCAUGGUUGUCGUCAGCUCGUGUCGUGAGAUGUUGGGUUAAGUCCCGCAACGAGCGCAACCCCUAUCUUAUGUUGCCAGCACGUUAUGGUGGGGACUCAUGGGAGACUGCCGGGGUCAACUCGGAGGAAGGUGGGGACGACGUCAAAUCAUCAUGCCCCUUAUGUCUUGGGCUUCACGCAUGCUACAAUGGCCGGUACAGUGGGUUGCGAUGCCGUGAGGUGGAGCUAAUCCCUAAAAGCCGGUCUCAGUUCGGAUCGAAGUCUGCAAC
rnacentral:rRNA from 1 species